rnacentral:rRNA from 1 species
CCUACGGGUGGCUGCAGUGAGGAAUAUUGGUCAAUGGGCGGAAGCCUGAACCAGCCAUGCCGCGUGCAGGAAGACGGCCCUACGGGUUGUAAACUGCUUUUCCGGGGGAAGAAUAAGGCCCACGUGUGGGCCGAUGCCGGUACCCCGGGAAUAAGGAUCGGCUAACUCCGUGCCAGCAGCCGCGGUAAUACGGAGGAUCCGAGCGUUAUCCGGAUUUACUGGGUUGAAGGGGUGCGUUUAAGGGAGCGGAGAAAUGCGGUGGCUCAACCUUCGAACGGCCGUUGAUACUGGGCGCCUUGGAUUCGGUCGAGGCGGGCGGAAUGCGACAUGUAGCGGUGAAAUGCUUAGAUAUGUCGCAGAACGCCGAUUGCGAAGGCAGCUCGCCGGGCCGAGAUUGACGCUGAGGCACGAAAGCGUGGGGAUCGAACAGGAUUAGAUACCCGUGUAGUC